rnacentral:rRNA from 1 species
CCUACGGGUGGCUGCAGUGGGGAAUAUUGCACAAUGGGGGAAACCCUGAUGCAGCAACGCCGCGUGAGUGAAGAAGGUCUUCGGAUUGUAAAGCUCUGUUAGCCGGGGUGAGGAAGCACGAUACCUGCAGAGGAAGCCACGGCUAACUACUGGCCAGCAGCCCCGGUAAGCCGUAGGCGGCAAGCGUUGUGCGGUAUAACUGGGCGUAAAGGAUGCGUGGGCGGUUAAACAUGUUUUAUGUUAAAUAUAUAGGCCUAACCUGGAGAAAGCAUAGAGAACUGUUUAACUAGGGUGCAGGAGGGGUAAGUGGAAUUCCUGGUGUAGCGGUGGAAUGCGUAGAGAUUAGGAAGAACACCAGUGGCGAAGGCGAGUUACUGGACUGUAACUGACGCUGAGGCAUGAGAGCAUGGGGAGCAAACAGGAUUAGAUACCCGAGUAGUC